rnacentral:rRNA from 1 species
CACGUGAGUAACCUUCCCUUGACUCUGGGAUAAGCCCGGGAAACUGGGUCUAAUACUGGAUAUGACCUUUCACCGCAUGGUGGAAGGUGGAAAGAUUUAUCGGUCUUGGAUGGACUCGCGGCCUAUCASCUUGUUGGUGAGGUAAUGGCUCACCAAGGCGACGACGGGUAGCCGGCCUGAGAGGGUGACCGGCCACACUGGGACUGAGACACGGCCCAGACUCCUACGGGAGGCAGCAGUGGGGAAUAUUGCACAAUGGGCGCAAGCCUGAUGCAGCGACGCCGCGUGAGGGAUGACGGCCUUCGGGUUGUAAACCUCUUUCAGUAGGGAAGAAGCCUUUCGGGGUGACGGUACCUGCAGAAGAAGCGCCGGCUAACUACGUGCCAGCAGCCGCGGUAAUACGUAGGGCGCGAGCGUUAUCCGGAAUUAUUGGGCGUAAAGAGCUCGUAGGCGGUUUGUCGCGUCUGCUGUGAAAGCCCGGGGCUUAACUCCGGGUCUGCAGUGGGUACGGGCAGACUAGAGUGCAGUAGGGGAGACUGGAAUUCCUGGUGUAGCGGUGAAAUGCGCAGAUAUCAGGAGGAACACCGAUGGCGAAGGCAGGUCUCUGGGCUGUUACUGACGCUGAGGAGCGAAAGCAUGGGGAGCGAACAGGAUUAGAUACCCUGGUAGUCCAUGCCGUAAACGUUGGGCACUAGGUGUGGGGGACAUUCCACGUUUUCCGCGCCGUAGCUAACGCAUUAAGUGCCCCGCCUGGGGAGUACGGCCGCAAGGCUAAAACUCAAAGGAAUUGACGGGGGCCCGC